rnacentral:rRNA from 1 species
GGGUUGUGAGGUUAAGCGACUAAGCGUACACGGUGGAUGCCCUGGCAGUCAGAGGCGAUGAAGGGCGUACUAAUCUGCGAUAAGCGCCGGUAAGGUGAUAUGAACCGUUAUAACCGGCGAUACCCGAAUGGGGAAACCCAGUGUGAUUCGUCACACUAUCAUUAACUGAAUCCAUAGGUUAAUGAGGCGAACCGGGGGAACUGAAACAUCUAAGUACCCCGAGGAAAAGAAAUCAACCGAGAUUCCCCCAGUAGCGGCGAGCGAACGGGGAGGAGCCCAGAGCCUGAAUCAGCAUGUGUGUUAGUGGAAGCGUCUGGAAAGGCGCGCGAUACAGGGUGACAGCCCCGUACACAAAAGCGCAUGUGCUGUGAGCUCGAUGAGUAGGGCGGGACACGUGGUAUCCUGUCUGAAUAUGGGGGGACCAUCCUCCAAGGCUAAAUACUCCUGACUGACCGAUAGUGAACCAGUACCGUGAGGGAAAGGCGAAAAGAACCCCGGCGAGGGGAGUGAAAAAGAACCUGAAACCGUGUACGUACAAGCAGUGGGAGCCCCACCACCAAAGCAUUUGCUGUACCGCGUUGACGGAGCGAAGCGACGUCAAACCGAUAA